rnacentral:rRNA from 1 species
AGAGUUUGAUCCUGGCUCAGAAUCAACGCUGGCGGCGCGCCUAACACAUGCAAGUCGAACGAGAAAGCCGCAAGGUGAGUAAAGUGGCGUACGGGUGAGUAACACGUGGAUUAUCUACCCUCUAGUGGGGAAUACCGUUGGGAAACCGACGACAAUACCGCAUAAGCUCGAGAGAGGAAAGCAGCAAUGCGCUGGAGGAGGAGUCCGCGGUCGAUUAGUUAGUUGGCAGGGUAAAAGCCUACCAAGACUGUGAUCGAUAGCCGGCCUGAGAGGGCACACGGCCACACUGGCACUGAAACACGGGCCAGACUCCUACGGGAGGCAGCAGUGGGGAAUCUUGCACAAUGGAGGAAACUCUGAUGCAGCGACGCCGCGUGAGCGAUGAAGCCCUUCGGGGUGUAAAGCUCUUUCGGCAGGGAAGAUAAUGACGGUACCUGCAGAAGCAGCUGCGGCUAACUACGUGCCAGCAGCCGCGGUAAUACGUAGGCAGCAAGCGUUGUUCGGAGUUACUGGGCGUAAAGGGUGCGUAGGCGGCUUUUUAAGUUUGGUGUGAAAUCUCCCGGCUCAACUGGGAGGGUGCGCCGAAUACUGAGAGGCUAGAGUGUGGGAGAGGAAAGUGGAAUUCCUGGUGUAGCGGUGAAAUGCGUAGAUAUCAGGAGGAACACCGGUGGUGUAAACGGCUUUCUGGACCAUAACUGACGCUGAUGCACGAAAGCGUGGGUAGCAAACAGGAUUAGAUACCCUAGUAGUCC